GACGAACGCUGGCGGCGUGCUUAACACAUGCAAGUCGAACGGAAAGGCCUGCUUUCCCUUGUGGAUUGCGGGUACUCGCGUGGCGAACGGGUGAGUAACACGUGAGUGAUCUGCCCCCAACUUGGGUAUAAGCCUGGGAAACUGGGUCUAAUUCCCGAUAGGACUGCAGGGUGGUGCCUGUGGUGGAAAACGAUUUUCUAGUGGUUGGGGAUGAGCUCGCGGCCUAUCAGCUUGUUGGUGGGGUAAUGGCCUACCAAGGCGGCGACGGGUAGCCGGCCUGAGAGGGUGGACGGCCACAUUGGGACUGAGAUACGGCCCAGACUCCUACGGGAGGCAGCAGUGGGGAAUAUUACACAAUGGGCGGAAGCCUGAUGCAGCGACGCCGCGUGGGGGAUGACGGGCUUCGGGUUGUAAACUCCUUUCGACCGCGAGGAAGCCACCUGGUUGGAAGGGUGGUGACGGUAGUGGUAGAAGAAGCACCGGCUAACUACGUG
rnacentral:rRNA from 1 species